AACUGGAAAAAAAGAGACGAUUGGAAUACGCUUUAAAUAGAAAAAAAGAGACGAUUGUAAUACCGCCGCCUUAAUCCGCGAAUAACUAUCUAUAUUUAUAUUGAUCAGUUCUGUUCUCAAUCAACACGAGAACAACGUUGUUGUUUACGCACUAACGAUCGGAACGAAAGCUCUCACUUUCUCACUCGAUCUCGCUCUCUUCUUCUUUGUCAAGCUCUACUUUACAAUCUCUCGUUCUCCCUCUCCCGGCCUCUCACUUUUCUCAUUGUUACUUUUUUUUGUUUUACUCUUUUUUGGUUUGUCUGUGUGGCUAUUUUGUGGUUCUUUGAUUCUUUUUUUAGGUUUUUGUGUCCGUGAUGGAUUCCCCGCCAGGUACUCCGAUUUCAUCACUCUCUCAUACUGUGGCCACUCCGUCACUUCCGUCGGCACCGAAAAAGAAACCCCAACAGUCUAUGGCAAGGUUUUUCCUAUCCGUGAUGGAUUCCCCGCCAGGUACUCCGAUUUCAUCACUCUCUCAUACGGUGGCCACUCCGUCACUUCCGUCGGCACCGAAAAAGAAACCCCAACAGUCUAUGGUUUUUCCUAUCCGUGAUGGAUUCCCCGCCAGGUACUCCGAUUUCAUCACUCUCUCAUACGGUGGCCACUCCGUCACUUCCGUCGGCACCGAAAAAGAAACCCCAACAGUCUAUGGCAAGGUUUAUUCUGCACUCUUUAGAAGAUGUUAGCGAAAUGGUUCAGGAAAUUAUUCUAAGGCGUGAGUACAGCCAAGAAGCAUUGAAUGUCGAGAGAGAAAGAAAAAUGCGCAUUUUGAUGUCACUGCGAUAGUCAUUCAUUGCUUGCGUGAGUAUGAUUCUUGUGUUGGUUGGUAACUUGGUACCACACCCAUUGCUCAUGAGCAGGAACAAUUUUGGCAACAACAGUUGGUCAAUCUAAUCUACUUCAUAUUUGGACAAUCAGUCUAGAAAUGAACAUGUAAGUAGUAUCAUAAUUACUGCAUCUCUUGAAUGUAGAAAAAGGUGAGAAAUUUCUGUGAUUCAAUUGUUUAAUACUCUCAUUCUAGAACCUAUCAAUCUCUUAAAAUUAGUCCGCUUUUUCUUUUAUCUUGAUAUUGUUUAUGUUAUGUCAUGGCCCCUUCUUGUAACAAUUUAUCUCUGCAUAAUGGAUCACACAUUUGAUUGCUUUUAUCUGUUGUCGGUCGCUUGUCCUUGUCCUUCUCAACCUCCAAGUGUCGUUCGUCUGCUUGAGGUUGAAAUCGGCCUACAUUCAAGAGAUGUAAGCAUACACGCAGUAUAUUCCACCACGAGCCUUUCUAGAUCAUUACUCCAAAUCCUAAGAUUGAGUAUUUCUUUUUAACACUUGUUAGGAUUAGGCAAUAGUAUAUAAUUGAAACCAAGAGAUCUCUGUUCAACACAUGUCCAAUGCUUCCUCUGCUUACAUCAAGUGACCAUUUUACUUCCUCUGGUUCACAAUAUAUCUGGAUUGAUGUGCAACUUUGAAGUUCUAGGAUGUCAGAUUAUUUCCUUUCUUUGUAGUGUUACAAUAUUGUUUCAUUUGGCCUAUUGUUUUUAUCUUGACCUUAAUUUGUAUAAACUUCAGCUUCCAUGACAUUGUUAUGUUUAUUUUCCA